UACAGGAAAUACAAACAUCGAGUGUCAUAUGCUAUCUGGUUUGGUCCCGUCGUAUAUAAGUCGUACACCGAGUAUUCGAUCUUCAGAAGCGUAGUUCACACCGCCGUUGCCGUAUUCUUAAUCGUAUACGAGUUCCAGCAGCAUACGAAGUGUCGAGUUUUAUUCAAGAGUAGCACCCAAAAUGAUACGAAGCUGUACUCUCGUCGUGCUGUGUGCCGUGGUCGUACUCGGUAACGGACGACGGAUCAGUGGAGAUUCAUCUCAGAAACUUUUAGCUCGUAGCACCAGAAUGAUUGGCGGUUCCGAA